rnacentral:rRNA from 1 species
AGUGGCGGACGGGUGAGUAAUGCUUGGGAACUUGCCUUUGCGAGGGGGAUAACAGUUGGAAACGACUGCUAAUACCGCAUAAUGUCUUCGGACCAAACGGGGCUUAGGCUCCGGCGCGAAGAGAGGCCCAAGUGAGAUUAGCUAGUUGGUGAGGUAAAGGCUCACCAAGGCAACGAUCUCUAGCUGUUCUGAGAGGAAGAUCAGCCACACUGGGACUGAGACACGGCCCAGACUCCUACGGGAGGCAGCAGUGGGGAAUAUUGCACAAUGGGGGAAACCCUGAUGCAGCCAUGCCGCGUGUGUGAAGAAGGCCUUCGGGUUGUAAAGCACUUUCAGUUGUGAGGAAAAGUUAGUAGUUAAUACCUGCUAGCCGUGACGUUAACAACAGAAGAAGCACCGGCUAACUCCGUGCCAGCAGCCGCGGUAAUACGGAGGGUGCGAGCGUUAAUCGGAAUUACUGGGCGUAAAGCGCACGCAGGCGGUUUGUUAAGCUAGAUGUGAAAGCCCCGGGCUCAACCUGGGACGGUCAUUUAGAACUGGCAGACUAGAGUCUUGGAGAGGGGAGUGGAAUUCCAGGUGUAGCGGUGAAAUGCGUAGAUAUCUGGAGGAACAUCA